rnacentral:rRNA from 1 species
UACGUAGGGGGCAAGCGUUGUCCGGAAUCAUUGGGCGUAAAGAGCGCGUAGGCGGUCCGGUAAGUCGGUUGUGAAAACUGGGGGCUCAACCCUCAGAGGCCGACCGAUACUGUCGGGCUAGAGUCCGGAAGAGGCGAGUGGAAUUCCUGGUGUAGCGGUGAAAUGCGCAGAUAUCAGGAGGAACACCAAUGGCGAAGGCAGCUCGCUGGGCCUUACCUGACGCUGAGGAGCGAAAGCAUGGGGAGCAAACAGG